rnacentral:rRNA from 1 species
UCAGGAUGAACGCUAGCGGCAGGCUUAACACAUGCAAGUCGAGGGGCAUCGGGAGUAGCAAUACUGCCGGCGACCGGCGCAAGGGUGCGUAACGCGUGAGCAACAUGCCCGUAUCAGAGGGAUAAUCCAUGGAAACGUGGUCUAAUACCCCAUAGUAAUUAUGUAAGGCAUCUUAUAUAAUUUAAAGCUUUGGUGGAUACGGAUUGGCUCGCGUGACAUUAGCUGGAUGGUAAGGUAACGGCUUACCAUGGCUACGAUGUCUAGGGGUUCUGAGAGGAAGGUCCCCCACACUGGAACUGAGACACGGUCCAGACUCCUACGGGAGGCAGCAGUGAGGAAUAUUGGACAAUGGAUGGAAAUCUGAUCCAGCCAUGCCGCGUGCAGGAAGACGGCCCUAUGGGUUGUAAACUGCUUUUGUAUGGGAGCAAUAAGGGCUACGUGUAGUCCGAUGAGAGUACCAUACGAAUAAGCACCGGCUAACUCCGUGCCAGCCGCGGC